CAUAUGUUUGUAAACAUAUGAAAAACAUAUGAUUUUCAUAUGUUUUCAUAUGUUUUAAAGGACAUUUAAAAAAAAAAUGUUUUGAGAAAAUGUCAAAAUUUGUCAUUUAAUUAUCACAUACAUUUUUUCAUUCAUUAUCUAUAUAGUGUAUUUAUCAAACAGGAAAGUGCACUUUCUACUCUUCCCACUAAAUCCCACAUCAUCGUGAUGAUAAAAGCAUGUCAGCCCUCAGGCUAUGUCACCCCCACAGCAGAGCUAUCUAAUUCUGAAUGGAACAUAAUGUAAAAUAAAUGAAUGAGUUAUAGAUAUUAAAUAAUAAUAUGAAUAAAUAUUCUGUAUUUAGUUUGUUCUUUAUUCUCAAUUCUUUUUUUUUUAUCAAUAAUCCCAUUAUUCUCUAUGAUUCUUUAUUCCAUAUUUCUGCUUUUUUUAAGUAUCUGUUCUUUAUUUUUUUUGUUCUUUAUUUUGCACUUUUUGUCAUUAUUUUCUAUAUUCUUAAACCCCAAUCUUGAUUCCAGACCAUCAAUAUAUACGUAAAUGUAAGAAAGCUUGAAUGGUACGUCGAAUACGGAAACCCGGAAAUCUUUUCACCGUUACCGUUUUUUAUACUAUGACGCAAAAUCCAUGGACGCUCACGCGAUCUGCUGUUCAGCCUGUUGUCAUUUAAAAAGUUUGAAUGGACAGAGAUAGAUGAUACAAAGAACUUUGGUUUUUCAAACUGGUGAAUCAAAAUUUAUUAUAAACAGAUAAAUUGAAAUGGGUGACUUGUCGAUUAACUGGAAGAAACUGGGGAACGAAACAUAGAAAAUUUAUGGAAAGUCAACGCAACGAAACAGCGAAAGUGUUUUUGUUUUGAUGGAUAGUUUUACGUACCCUAAAAGCACAACGAAAGCAUUUUCAAUGAAAGUACAUUUUGUACUUCAAGAAGUAGAAGAAUCUAAGCAACAGAACAGAAUUCAUUUGAGGCAUUGCUUUCUAGAUUAUAUAAUGGAUUCAUAGAUUGUCAUAUUGAUUUAUGUGCAUAUAAGGAGCAGCAGGCAAUAAUUAUUUUGUGAUGAGAGCUUGUUACCAUGGUUACCAUAUGAAAGGAAAGGACAGUAUUAGAAUCACUGGUGUACAUGUAGGUGCGGAUGUUAGGCAAAAAGAACUGGUAUCAAAGAACUGAAAAGUAAAGAAACAGAACCAAAGAACAUUAAUUUUUAAUUAAUACAAUAUUGAGCUCAAAGUCAAUCUAGUUGUCUUUCUUAAUCAUACAGGAUAUUUCCAAAAAGCAGCUGCAUACACAUGCACCAGUAAUAGCCAGCAGUGUAGACAAUUACAUAUCUGUGUAUGGUGAUAUAGCAAUAGAAAUAUCACAUAUAUACAUCAUACGAAAAUAUAAUAUAGACAAUAGAAAUGGAGUACACAUGUAUGUCAUAGAGACACACAUAUGAAAAUAGAAUAUAGACAAUAGAAAUGGGGUAUGUCAAAGAGACACACAUGUGAAAAUAGAAUAUAGACAAUAGAAAUGGGGUAUGUCAAAGAGACACACAUAUGAAAAUAUAAUAUAGACAAUAGAAAUGGGGUAUGUCAAAGAGACACACAUAUGAAAAUAUAAUAUAGACAAUAGAAAUGGGGUAUGUCAAAGAGACAAACAUAUGAAAAUAUAAUAUAGACAAUAGAAAUGGGAUAUGUCAAAGAGACACACAUAUGAAAAUAUAAUAUAGACAAUAGAAAUGGAGUAUGUCAAAGAGACACACAUAUGAAAAUAUAAUAUAGACAAUAGAAAUGGGGUAUGUCAAAGAGACACACAUAUGAAAAUAUAAUAUAGACAAUAGAAAUGGAGUAUGUCAAAGAGACACAUAUGAAAAUAGAAUAUAGACAAUAAAAUUGGGGUAUGUCAAAGAGACAAACAUGAAAAUAGAAUAUAGACAAUACAAAAUGGGGUAUGUCAAAGAGACUAACAUAUGAAAAUAUAAUAUAGACAAUAGAAAUGGGGUAUGUCAAAGAGACACACAUAUGAAAAUAGAAUAUAGACAAUACUAGAAAUGGUGUAUGUCGAAGAGACAAACAAAUGAAAAUAGAAUAUAACAAUAGAAAUAUGGUACAAUGUAUGUCAAAGAGACAAAAAUAUGAAAAUAAAAGAGACAACAACUGAAUAAAAAAAAAAUUCUACUUUAUAUAAAAAUUAUGGAGCACUUAUUGUUUUUUAUUUGUUUGAGCUUUUGAUUUUGCCAUGUAUUUUCUGUGGAGUUUGGUAUUUUGGGUAUUUUUACUUUUUAAAGCAACAACUCAUCACAAUGAAGUAUUUACACUCAAAAUGAGUUCUUGACAGAAAAAAAAGAUAACAAAUUAAAGAAAAACAUAUUAAAAAACAUCAAAACGUUACCCUUAAAAACCUAUCGCAAAAAAAAAAAAUA